GAUGAAGAACGUAGCGAAAUGCGAUAAGCAGUGUGAAUUGCAGAAUUCAGUGAAUCAUCGAAUCUUUGAACGCACAUUGCGCCCUUUGGUAUUCCUUAGGGCAUGCCUGUUCGAGCGUCAUUUAAACCUUCAAGCUAAGCUUGGUGUUGGGUGACUGUCCGCUUCACGGCGGACUCGCCUCAAAAUUAUUGGCGGCCGGUACAUUGGCUUCGAGCGCAGCAGAAACGCGAACUCGGGCCCGUCGUAUUGGCUCCCAGAAGCUAUCUUCACAAUUUUGACCUCGGAUCAGGUAGGGAUACCCGCUGAACUUAAGCAUAUCAAUAAGCGGAGGA
rnacentral:misc_RNA from 1 species